UACGGGGGGGGCAAGCGUUGUUCGGAAUUACUGGGCGUAAAGGGCUCGUAGGCGGCCAACUAAGUCGGAUGUGAAAUCCCCAAGCUUAACUUGGGAACUGCAUCCGAUACUGGAUGGCUUGAAUCCGGGAGAGGGAUGCAGAAUUCCAGGUGUAGCGGUGAAAUGCGUAGAUAUCUGGAGGAACACCGGUGGCGAAGGCGGCAUUCUGGACUACAACUGACACUGAGGAACGAAAGCCAGGGGAGCAAACGGG
rnacentral:rRNA from 1 species